rnacentral:rRNA from 1 species
UACGUAGGGUGCGAGCGUUGUCCGGAAUCACUGGGCUUAAAGCGCGUGUAGGCGGGUCGUUAAGUGUCCGAGUGAAAUCCCACGGCUCAACCGUGGAACUGCCGGGCAUACUGGCGAUCUUGAGGCAUUCAGGGGCGAGCGGAACAAAUGGUGGAGCGGUGAAAUGCGUAGAUAUCAUUUGGAACGCCAAUGGUGAAAACAGCUCGCUGGGAAUGAUCUGACGCUGAGACGCGAAAGCCAGGGGAGCGAACGGG